CUGAAAUUAAAAAAAGUGGUCAGACCUCAAGGUGGAGGUGAAGCAGAGGGUUUCUGCCCACCGCCGAAGCGUGACCGAAACAGGAGGGGGGACGGGAGUGGGGGAACUCUCCCCCUUCGAUUUGAGAGUGGCCGCUUUGAUCGGUGACACAGCUCUCACCGGAGUGGUGGGAGCCCAUGAAGGGGACACCGAUCAUCCCCAAGACAAGCAAGGAGAGGGCACGGAUUGCUCCGUCGGCCCCGGCGUCUCCUCCGUCGGCCCCGGCGUCUCCUCCGUCGGCCCCGGCGUCUCCAGCGCCCUUCGGAUUUGACCAUUUGCGAUGUCCUCUAACAACGCUAACGCAGCCAUUUUUAAAACAAUUUUCUUCAUCCAUUGCGCAUGCUUUUAUAGCCACCCAUAUAAUUGCAGGGUGUGUUAAUUGUUCAUUAGUGUGUCUCUGAUGUGCAAAUCACUCUGAGUCAUUGUUUUCACCUUUUUUCCCAGUUUCCCAGCGUCACCUCUAAGUGUCGCCAAAGGAACAAUAGCUGUAGAAACGUGCGUACGACAGCUCUGGAGCUGGCGUGGGGACCGCACAUUUUUACGGUCAUUUCACGUUUUGUACAUCUGAACGUGAGCGUGGAAAAGGACAUACGCCACGUUUUUGUGCG
ensembl:lncRNA